CGGGCAGCAACCGGCUGCAGACAGAGGGCAAGUCUGAGCCCAUGUGCCUUGCACCCCGGGAGCCAGGAGCUCAUUAAAGAGGAGGGGAAGGAGCAAUUAUGUGCAAACUUCUGAAGGGCCUGGGACUCCAGAGGAGGAAAGAAGGUCCUCAGCAGGCAUCUCAUGUUAGGACAGACGUUUCCCACAAGGGGGAACACACUCCCUCCGUGACAGGUCAAACCAGGUAUGGAGUUCACCUAUUUCUUGAUUGCCACCAAAAAAUAAAACAAAACCCAAUUCUAGGUUCUGGGAAAAUAGCAGUGGAUACAUCUUUUAAAAUCUCUCCAAAUUCCUACAUUCAAAAAGGACAGCUGAGGGACUGGCCCCGGGGCUGAGUGGGAUUGUUCAGCAUACUAACCAAGCCUCAGGAGAUGAACAUCUUCUGGCCAUUAAAAGCAGGUUCUACUAGUUCGGUAACAGCAGCUGAGUCACUCUCUCUGCGAUACUGGGCUUGCCAUCAUCCUUUGGAAUGCAUUGGUUCCCUUGUGCUCAGCACCUGCCAGCUCUUCAAUUCCUGUAGAGCUUCCCGUCCAAGUACAACAUCCAUGGUUUCAAUGGAGGCAGCAACCCCACCUGGCAGUGCCUCAGCUCGUAUGGAUGGGCCAGCACUGGCCAUGAGUUAUCAAGCCAGUGAGUCUGAAUCACAGGCCUGGAGGAGUCAGAAAUCCAGCGACUGGGGCCAGGAAGACAUGAGCGAGACAAAGAGAGAUGGAUCUGCCUCUUCUUCCCAUGGUAAAGGUCCCAACCUGAGGCCACCUGAGCUGGGGAGCAGUGAAGCUGAGCAAAGUGGAGUGUGAACCCCAUUUUACAGACGGGAAAGCUGAGGAUCAUGGAUGUUACAGGUGUGUCCAUGCGCUCACAUCUGCUUAAUGGCAUCAAGUGCGCCUGCCUCAGCCACAUUGCAAUCAAGAGGAUGCAUUUGUUAAGCAGUCCAUGCCCAAGGCCAUCAAGGGUUGUCUUCUCCUCGUUCCUCCCCUCCUCCCUGUAACCUGCCCUUUGGAGAGGAAGCUUUGUUUGCAUGCUCGGUAUGCUGACCUUCUCUGCUUCCCCUGCAUGCCUUCCCUGUUAAUGGGAGAGCUGGCAUCCCUACACCUCAGUCAUGCCCAAUCCAUGUUCGUGGACCAGGCUCGCCAAGCCAACAUUUACUCAGGCCCAAAGCCACUGGGCAGAGUCUUUUACAACAUCAACAGCAACAGCCAAUGAGGAGGUUUAUUUAGUUCAAGUUCAUUGCCUUUUGGCAUUGGUGCCCGAUGAUUUUGGGAUGGGUCCAUGGCAUUCCUCUAUAAGGUACAAUGACCACCUCUUGGGCAGCUUGGGAGUCCCACAGAUUCAAAUGAGGUCACUUGGUGUCAUUUCAGUUGGCGCUUAAGGCUGGAAGCCACCCCUGGGCUUCUCUCAGGAUUUGGAAUCUCCACCUUAUAGUCUAGAGUGGGAAAGUCCUCAUUAAACAGCCAGCUCCACACGGCUAUUUAGAGGAGAGGGGCUGUAAAAUGCACACGGGGAGGAUUCAGGGGAAGUUUGUUCAGGUUGUCACCUUCCUUCUUUGCCUUUUAAAAUUCAACUUAGAAUUCUAACUGAUUGAGGAAAUGUAGAGUCCAUAGUUAGGAUCAUUAUAAAACAUAUAAUCUAAACCAAAGGUAUCAUCCGGGACUGUCCAGGGGCAAAUCAGGACAGGGAUUACCCCUGCUCUCUGGUCUACCACCCAGGCCACCCUUUGGCUGAAUUCAUUCACCUCUUCUAUAUACCUAAUUUGUUAAAAAUAAACAGAAGUUUGAAUUUCCGCUUCACUGAAAGUUAUUUAAUUGAGGGGUUUUUGGUUGGGGUGUCUCAGG
rnacentral:lncRNA from 1 species